CUCUCCUUUUCCCCUUGCCUUUCCUCCCCCUUCCUCUCCCCCUUCCUCUCUCCCUUCCCUUCCAUGAGACCCUCCCCAACCCAUCUCUGCAUCUCCCAGCUCCUCCCACUCCUGCUCCUCCCUCGCCCUGCCCCCCUCCACCUAUCCCAACUCCACUCAUCCGCAGCCCAAACACUGAUCUGUUUUAGUUUGCAUUUUCUAGAGUCGUCCAUAAAUGGAAUCAUCCCAUAUGUACUUGAUUUUGUCUGGCUUCUUUCACUCAACAUAGUUACUUUGACAUGCCUGCGUGUUUUUGCAUGGAACAAUCAUUCAUUGCUUCCUGAGCAGUAUUCCAUUUAUGGAUAUACCACCGUGUGUUUAGUCAGCACUUGAUUUAGCCUGCUUUCAAUUUUUCCUGAUUAGAACUACAGCUGCUAGGAACAUCCCUGUGCAAAUCUUUGUACAGACAUAUACGGUUUUUCCUCUCUGGGGUAAAUACCUGGAAGUGGAAUGCCCAGGUCGUAAGGCAUCUCAGAGCUUCGACUGACUGAAUAUAUGCAGAGUCCAAAAUGAGAUAAACAAGCACCUAACCUGAACUUAAGCCGGCAGAUGAGGAUAAGGCUCCCCAGCCUCCCGGAACAAGCAGACAGUUAUUAAUGGAAAUGUUCCACCAGUUCAGGUCUGUGCUGGGAGCCUUCCUGGGUGAUCCUGUGUUUCCAUCAUUAAUCACUUUGAACACUGCAUUCUCAUUUGGCAGAAUGCUGAAGCCUUACUGGUCUGAGGUGUCAGAGGUCAGAGCCUGAGACUGACAGAGGAGCCACAGGUGACCAGCAAACUGCAGAAGCUCUGGGGAGAACUCCAUGGAGUCAGGCUAAAAACAGCAGCAACCAGAAACUGUAAGAACUGAGCAGAGAUACCAGCUGCACCACUAGAGAGACAAAGUGUGUAGCUCACUGCCUAGUACAGCAAAAUAGCCACAAUCCUCAGAAGGACACAACAGAAUCUGGAAUCACUAGAAAGUAUUAUCUACAAUGCUCAUUCUUAACCAUGCAAAGAAGAAACAGGAAAGUGUGAUUCAAAGUCAGAAAAAAGUCAGUCAAUAGAAAUCUACUCUGUUAGGGACAGGUGUUGGUGAAUUAAGUAAUUAGAGACUCUAAAGCAGCUAUGAUAAAUAUGUUCACAGAGGAAAGCUCAAUAGAGAAAUGAAACUUCAAACAUGGAAAUUUAAGACUUGAAAAGUACAAAAACUAGAAAGAAAAAUUUACUAGGUGGACCAAACGGCAGAUUAGAGAUGCCAAAAUUGCAUAAAUUGAACAGAGAUCAAAAGACGUUAUUUAAUCUAAAAAAUUGAAGAAAAAUGAGCAGAGCCUUAGAGUCCUGUAAAAUAUCAAGCAAGAUAACAUAUAUGUAAUUGGGUUCCGGAGGGAGAGAAGGAAUGGAAAAAAAUAUUUGCAUAAAUAAUGACUGAAAAAUUCCAUGAUUGGCAGAAAACACUAAUUUACAGAUCUAAGAAGGUCAAGCACCCCAAGCAGGAUAUAUAAUUAUAUCACUUCCAUGCAGAAGAGAAAUGCAGAAAGCCAAAGAUAAAGAGCAAAGUGUUGAAAGCAGCCAAAGAAAAGUGACACAUCACGUACAGGAAAAUAGUUCAGCUCAAUGGCUGAAUUUUCAUCAGAAAUACUGGCAUUCAGAAGAAAUUUAAAAAUGCUGAAAACAAAACUAGCAGCCAAGAAUUUUGUAUCAAGCAAAAAUGUCUUUUCAAAAUUAAAGGCAAAAGGAAGCAACUUCCAGAUAAAUUUAAAAGACAGAAUUUAUGCCAUUAUAUUUACACUGUAAGAAAUGCUAAAUGAGGUUCUUCAGGUUGAAGGGAAAUGACCCUGAUGACAACAUGGAUCUACAGGAAAAAAUGAAAAGCAUCAGAAAUCAUACAUAUGUGAGUAAAUAUAAAAUACUAAAUAUUGAUAGAUGAAUAUAUGGAUAGGUACUACACAAACACAUAUGAACAUAUAAUUCUUAAUAUCUUAACACAUGAUAUAGGACUCUUCAAAACAAAAAAUUAUUACAUUGUAUUGUUGGGUUUGUAAUGGACACAGAUAUAAAAUAUGUAACAAUAUUAAGAGUAGGAAAAGUAGAGAUACAUUGUUAAAAGGUUCUAGUAUUUUACUUGAAGUAGUUCAAUAUUAACUCUAGACUAUUAUAAGUUAAAGUUAAGUUGCGUAUUGUAAUCACUACAGCAACCACUAAAAAUAGAACAAAGAAAUACGGCAAAAAAGCCAAGAGACGAAUUAAAAUGUAACACUAAAGAAAAAAAAAAAACACUACGGGGGGCCGGGUGCAGUGGCUCAUGCCUGUAGUCCCAGCACUUUGGGAAGCCAAGGCAGGAGGAUCACCUGAGGUCAGGAGUUCGAGACUAGCCUGGCCAACAUGGUGAAACCCCUCCCCCCAACCAAAAAUACAAAAAUUAGCUGGAUGUGGUGGCACGUGCCUGUAAUCCCAGCUAGUUGGGAGGCUGAGUAGGAAAAUCACUUGAACCCAGGAGGCAGAAAUUGCAGUGAGCAGAGAUCGUGCCACUGCUCUCCAGCCUGGGUGACAGAGCAAGGCUCCAUCUCAAAAAAAAAAAAAAAAAUUAACACUACAAAAGGCAGGAAGAGAGGAACUGUGGAAUAAAACAGAUCAGACAAAUAUAAAUGGGAAGCUUAACUAUAACCAAAUCAAUAAUCAUAUGAUAAUUGAAAACUAAUCAAAAGGUAAUUAAGUGGAAACUGACAUAUUAAUAUGUGUUCAGUCCAUAUACAUAUAUUAUCUCUUUAGUUCCUUUUAAAAAGUGUUUUAUAUUUUUCAGUGUAUAGAUUUUGCAAAAAGUUUGGUAAAUUUAUCCCCAUGUAGUUCAUAUUUUAGGAAGGUAUUAUAAGUUCAAUUGUACUUUUGCUGUUUUGUUCAUUGCUCACAUAUAGAAAUAUGAUAAAUUUUUAUGUAUUGAACUUUCAUCCUUUGACCUCGAUAGAUCUAUUUAUUAGUUCUAGUAAGUUUCUGUAGUCUUCUUAAGAUUUUCUGUAUAAAUGGUCAUGCAAUCUGAAUAAAUACAGUUUUACGGCUUCCU
rnacentral:lncRNA from 1 species